rnacentral:rRNA from 1 species
CCUACGGGAGGCAGCAGUGGGGAAUAUUGGACAAUGGGGGCAACCCUGAUCCAGCCAUGCCGCGUAUGUGAAGAAGGCCCUCGGGUUGUAAAGCACUUUCAGUGAGGAAGAACGCCUGGUGGUUAAUACCCAUCAGGAAAGACAUCACUCACAGAAGAAGCACCGGCUAACUCCGUGCCAGCAGCCGCGGUAAUACGGAGGGUGCGAGCGUUAAUCGGAAUUACUGGGCGUAAAGCGCGCGUAGGUGGCUUGAUAAGCCGGUUGUGAAAGCCCCGGGCUCAACCUGGGAACGGCAUCCGGAACUGUCAAGCUAGAGUGCAGGAGAGGAAGGUAGAAUUCCCGGUGUAGCGGUGAAAUGCGUAGAGAUCGGGAGGAAUACCAGUGGCGAAGGCGGCCUUCUGGACUGACACUGACACUGAGGUGCGAAAGCGUGGGUAGCAAACAGGAUUAGAUACCCGAGUAGUC